rnacentral:lncRNA from 1 species
CAGCUGGUGAACUUGACAGAGGCAUUGCCAUGACAACAAAGGCACAAUGACGGCCUCUCCCCAACAAAAGGAGAGCCAGGUGGGCCUCUCAAUCCAGACCACAGAGAGUUGGCAGGGUCAGUGAGGGCUGAGUUGAGGCUUAGUCAGCAAGAAAUACCACCGGUCCCUGACCAAGCCAAGAGUGUCCAGCAUAGUCCCUGGUGAAUGAUGAUAAAUGAAUCUAGAUAAAGAAAACAAAAACCUUCAGUGGGGCAAGAAUGACUUCAGAAAAGCAGCAUGUGUCAGCAGACACAACAGUAUCUCAUCGCCAAAGACCAAUACCAAUACAACCAGUGCAACAUGAACAGGCUGCUUUACUCAUUCUUUACGUCACUAAAAGACCCAUGAUGCCAUCAAUAGGAG